rnacentral:rRNA from 1 species
UACGGAGGGUGCGAGCGUUGUCCGGAAUUAUUGGGCGUAAAGAGCUCGUAGGCGGUCUGUCGCGUCUGCUGUGAAAACUCAGGGCUUAACCCUGAGCUUGCAGUGGGUACGGGCAGACUAGAGUGCGGUAGGGGAGACUGGAAUUCCUGGUGUAGCGGUGAAAUGCGCAGAUAUCAGGAGGAACACCGGUGGCGGAAGGCGGGUCUCUGG